rnacentral:lncRNA from 1 species
UAAAACAUAUCAAGAAUCCAUAUAUGAAUCUCUCUAUCAAUCGGCGAUUUUCUUGCUUGCGUUAGAAAUUACUACUCAAGAAAAUAGCAUCAUUCUUUGUCCAUUUCUACUGGGAACUGUACAUAUGACAACUGACACUGACAAUUCAGAAAACGAGGUACAAGUAUACCUAGAUAAUAUGUGAUCAAUAUAUUAUACUUAUAUUAUAGGUGAUGGGUAAAUAUUGAUUAAAUUAUUAUAAAAUACAACUUUAAAGAAAAUUGCGGUUUUAUUUGACCAACAAAUUAAAUGUGUUCUUAGGAAGGUAUAUCUGUUGUUUAAAAAUACUGAAGCAAAAGGAAAAUUUGAAAGCCACAACUUAGUUAUUUUUGUACUGAUGCAAAUAAUGACUCUGAAAUAUCAAAAUCAAAGUGGUCACCUUCUAAAUUAAAUUCUGUCCUGUUGGAAAAGCCAAGAAUGAGGUAGAAAUACUCAAGAUUUUUUUAUGGUUGUUGCAGUAACAACGUAUUUUUGUACUUUUUUUUUCUCCAAUUUUUUGUUUGAUUAUAACCACUACAUUAUUAUGGUACUGAAUAAGUACAAACCGUUGUACGGCCUAUUAUGUACUCAUUGAGUAGCAAUUUCCUUCACGGC